ACUGUCACACUCUCAUCUCUCUACCUUAUCCUUUCCUUUGGAGUGCUGGGGAGCGCAGGCCGCUGCCGGCCGCCGAGCGGCGGCGCCUCUCGCGUAGACGCCGCUAAAGUCUCCGUCGGCGACUGGACACGCAGGAUUGGUCGCUGGCGACCGGCCACGCAGGACGGCUGCGUCGGCGUCGGUGCAUUCGGGGCUGCAGCCUCCGCCAAGCCAUGGGGGUUAUCGUCGGCCACCUUUUCAAGGCUGUCCACCGGUGGCAGGAGGCGCUCCGAGAUGGUGCGGUGGGAUGCCGGUGUGGAGACCCAGGCGCAGGCGAUGGCCAAGGCGGCCAGCGUCGAUGCGCUUGAGCAGUUCAAGAUCUCUGCCUACUAAAACACAAGGGGACUUUCCUCUUGCGCAAAUUAUGUGCUGCAGCUCCGCCAGAUGCGGAGGGACAUCGCCAAGCUCCUCUAGGCGGGGCAGGAGGCCACUGCGCGGAUCAGGGUACGUGGAGCGAGUUCUCGUGCCUGUCGAUUUAGAGCUCCCCGCUGCGGGGUGCUCGGGCCUCCGCUCGGGCCGCCGCUGCUGCGGGGCGCUCGGGCCGCCGCUGCGGGAGACGGAUUUGGUGAUUUUUUCCCUUUUUUUUGAAUUUUUUUUGAAAUAGGGAUUGUAUGGAUUGUAUCGAUCUUGUAAAUGAUUUGUGGGAUCUAUAAAUUUUGUAUCGAUCGAUUCAUUAUUUGUGUUUGAUUCUUCGAA